CUCCCUCCCUCCCCUUCGGCAAGAUCUAGCGCGCUCUAAGAUCCCCAUGCUCUGCUCCUCCCUCCCUCCCCUCCGGCAAGAUCCAGCGUGCAGCCUCACUCUCCUCGAUCCAGAUCGAGGCGCCCCGCCUUCGUCUCCCUCUGUCUCCCACCCGAUGGAGGCCGUGGUGGGGGAAGCGAGGGGUCUCGGCUUCCCCUCCCAUCGCCGCACCACUCGUCCGCUAGCUCCCCACGUGGGCGGAUUCGGAUGGAGGUGGCCGUCGCCGGGCACAACGACUCCACCCGCCAGGUCGUCACCGCGCUCCUCCGCAAGUGAACCAACUUCCUUCUCCUUGCUUAGCUAGUCAAUUUUCCUACUACUGAAUUGGGCUCUGUUUCUGUUCCUUCUCGGGAGGUGACGCUAGUGGCGGCGGUGGCGGACGGGAUGAAGGCGUGGGAGGUCAUGCGGGGCCGCGGUGCACGUUCGCCACGGUGGCGGUGGCCGAGGUGCAGGCCAAGGAGCGGCUGCCCACGAUCUGCUGCCCCGGAACGUUGUGCUAUACCAGUACCAGGCGUUCCCCUUCUGCAACAAGGUCAGAGUGACCUCGGAUCUGGUGAUGGGCGCCAAGGAGAAGCAGCUCAAGGUCAAGGGCCUCGAUUUGGGCUGAUUUACUGAUUUGGUUUCCUCUGAUGGUGAUGCUUGUUCCUGAAGGCGCUGGCCAAGGAGCUGGUGCAGUCCAGGAAGGCGGUCAACCACCUCUACGAGAACAAGGCCCAGCUCAACUCCAUCUCCAUGCACCUCGGCAAGAUCGUCGGGAGCUUCGCAUCCGAGUCUCGUCCAUCGUCGGUAGCAAGGAGCUGGGCCAAGGGGGCAAGCAGCGCUGCUGGUUACUUGGGGCAGCAUGGCGUGUGGCGGCCUAUUUUGCUUCCAAGAGCAGUACUGUUUAUUUGAAAUUGAAUGAUGUACUCGGCUACUGCCUAGUAAAAAAUUGAAUGAUUGUCAUGUACUGUCUAUGAUGUAGUGAGCUGUAGGAGUGAAAUGAAAUUUUAUCUGUUGUUGUA